rnacentral:rRNA from 1 species
GACGAACGCUGGCGGCGUGCUUAACACAUGCAAGUCGAACGGUAAGGCCCUGCAUUUGUGGGGUGCAAGAGAGUCAAACGGGUGAGUAACACGUGGGUAAUAUGCCCUGAAUAAUGGGCUAAACACAGGAAACUGGCGCUAAUAAAGGAUAAGAGCUACCCUUGAAUAGCAGAGAAGGGAAAGUUACAGCGGUUGGGGAUGUACCCGCGGCUUAUCAGCUUGUUGGUGGGGUAGUGGCUUACCAAGUCAUUGACGAGUAGCCGGCCUCAGAGGGAGACCGGCCACAUCGGGACUGAGAUACGGCCAAGGCUCCUACGGGAGCCAGCAGUAGGAGAUAGGAAACAAUGGGAGGAAGCCUGAUGCAGAUACGCCGCGUGCGGGAUAACUACAUUGGGGUUGUAUUCCGCUUACGUCUGUGACGAAGAGUGAAUGACGGUACUGGGUAAAGAAGCUCCGGCUAACUACGUG